rnacentral:rRNA from 1 species
CCUACGGGUGGCAGCAGUGGGGAAUAUUGCUCAAUGGGGGCAACCCUGAAGCAGCAACGCCGCGUGGAGGAUGAAGGUUUUCGGAUUGUAAACUCCUUUUAUUCGAGAAGCUAAUGACGGUAUCUAAAGACUAAUCACUGGCUAACUCCGUCCCAGCAGCCGCGGUAAUACGGAGGGUGCGAGCGUUAAUCGGAAUCACUGGGCGUAAAGUGCGCGUAGGUGGCAUAGCAAGUCAGAUGUGAAAUCCUUUGGCUUAACCAGGGAACUGCAUUUGAGACUGGUAUUCUAGAGUGUGGUAGAGGUAGGUGGAAUUCCAGGUGUAGGGGUGAAAUCCGUAGAGAUGUGGAGGAAUACUGGUGGCGAAGGCGACCUGCUGGAACAUAACUGACGCUGAGGUGCGAAAGCGUGGGGAGCAAACAGGAUUAGAUACCCCAGUAGUC